rnacentral:rRNA from 1 species
GAGUUUGAUCCUGGCUCAGAUUGAACGCUGGCGGCAGGCCUAACACAUGCAAGUCGAACGGUAACAGGAAGAAGCUUGCUUCUUUGCUGACGAGUGGCGGACGGGUGAGUAAUUUCUGGGAAACUGCCUGAUGGAGGGGGAUAACUACUGGAAACGGUAGCUAAUACCGCAUAACGUCGCAAGACCAAAGAGGGGGACCUUCGGGCCUCUUGCCAUCGGAUGUGCCCAGAUGGGAUUAGCUUGUUGGUGGGGUAACGGCUCACCAAGGCGACGAUCCCUAGCUGGUCUGAGAGGAUGACCAGCCACACUGGAACUGAGACACGGUCCAGACUCCUACGGGAGGCAGCAGUGGGGAAUAUUGCACAAUGGGCGCAAGCCUGAUGCAGCCAUGCCGCGUGUAUGAAGAAGGCCUUCGGGUUGUAAAGUACUUUCAGCGGGGAGGAAGGGAGUAAAGUUAAUACCUUUGCUCAUUGACGUUACCCGCAGAAGAAGCACCGGCUAACUCCGUGCCAGCAGCCGCGGUAA